AGUAGUUUGAUCAGUGGCUCGAGAUGAACGCUGGCGGCGUGCCUAACACAUGCAAGUCGAACGGAGCAUCCGCGGAGAGAUUGGAAGUGCUUGCACAGAAGAGAUCAAGCGGAUACUUAGUGGCGGACGGGUGAGUAACGCGUAGGCAACCUGCCUCUAAGAUGGGGACAACAGCCCGAAAGGGCUGCUAAUACCGAAUGUUGUAAGUAACUCGCAUGAGGGACUUACCAAAGAUGGCCUCUACUUGUAAGCUAUCACUUAGAGAUGGGCCUGCGUCUGAUUAGCUAGUUGGUGGGGUAACGGCUCACCAAGGCGACGAUCAGUAGCCGGUCUGAGAGGAUGAACGGCCACAUUGGGACUGAGACACGGCCCAGACUCC
rnacentral:rRNA from 1 species